GACGUAGGGUCCGAGCGUUGUCCGGAGUUACUGGGAGUAAAGCGCGCGCAGGCGGUUUCAUACGUCGGGUGUGAAAGCCCCCCCGCUCAACGGGGGAGGGUCAUUCGAAACGGUGGAACUGGAGGCAGGGAGAGGUCGGUGGAAUUCCCGGUGUAGUGGUGAAAUGCGUAGAUAUCGGGAGGAACACCAGUGGCGAAGGCGGCCGGCUGGACCUGACCUGACGCUGAGGCGCGAAGGCGUGGGGAGCGAACGGGAUUAGAUACCCCCGUAGUCC
rnacentral:rRNA from 1 species